rnacentral:rRNA from 1 species
AAUAGAUACCCCGGUAGUCCACGCCGUAAACGAUGAAUGCUAGGUGUUAGGGGUUUCGAUACCCUUGGUGCCGAAGUUAACACAUUAAGCAUUCCGCCUGGGGAGUACGGUCGCAAGACUGAAACUCAAAGGAAUUGACGGGGACCCGCACAAGCAGUGGAGUAUGUGGUUUAAUUCGAAGCAACGCGAAGAACCUUACCAGGUCUUGACAUCCCUCUGAAUCCUCUAGAGAUAGAGGCGGCCUUCAGGACAGAGGAGACAGGUGGUGCAUGGUUGUCGUCAGCUCGUGUCGUGAGAUGUUGGGUUAAGUCCCGCAACGAGCGCAACCCUUGAUUUUAGUUGCCAGCACAUUAAGGUGGGCACUCUAGAAUGACUGCCGGUGACAAACCGGAGGAAGGCGGGGAUGACGUCAAAUCAUCAUGCCCCUUAUGACCUGGGCUACACACGUACUACAAUGGCCAGUACAACGGGAAGCGAAGUCGCGAGAUGGAGCCAAUCCUAUCAAAGCUGGUCUCAGUUCGGAUUGC